rnacentral:lncRNA from 1 species
UUUCAUAAAAUAAUCAGCAGUAGUAUUUUACUACCAGCAAUAAAGACAUCAUUUUUCCUUUAAACCUAGCUGGGACAGGUAUUGAAGACCAGCAAGAUUGGUCCUGAUUUCAUCAACUGUAGUUUAUCAACAUUAAGACCCGUGAAUCAGGGCGAGAACACCGGAAUAGACAGUGUCUGCUGUUACCGUAAAAACGUCACAGCUCCACCUUUUGAUCGAGUGAACAUAUAUCAUAAAUUCAUAAAUGAGACCAAUGGUUUUACCAAGAUGGAGAGGUACAGCUUGGACCCAAACAGCCUUUUUGUUAAUGAUUAUCAUGAAGCAGCACUUCAGACCACUGUUUCUCCCACUUCCAAACCUCCAGUGGCAACUGAAUGCUUUACACUCAACUUCAUUACAAAUAAUUUGAUCUACAGGCCACAGAUGAGUAAUCCCAAGUCAAAGCUGUUCAGCAAAACACAAGGAAUCUUCUGUAAAUUGCUGGGACAGAUAUUGAAUGCCAGCAACAUUGGACCUGAUUUGAU